UGUUCAAAAAUUAAUGGAGACCUUUAUUAAUUUAUUUCCUUUCCUAUAUUGUUUCUAGAAGCAAGAUGCAUCUUUUAUACUUAUAAUAUUUUAAUUUCUUUACCUUAAUUUGUAGUUAAAAAAUGGUAGUAUCUGUUAACUUAUAUAUUGUGUCCAUAGAUAUUGUAAAAUAUGAAUUUGUUUCAAUUAAAUUAGGCUUCCACCUGCAACGUUCUGUCCGUGGCGAUGUACUAAAUUGAACUGAGAGAAUUUGUUUAUAUUACUUUAUCAUUCGCGUGACGUAUUUGUCACUGAGGCCGCAUCACCUAUGCUUCAAGAGGAUGCUCUAUGGAUCUGUUACUUGAGCUCGCAAGCCGUCGCUGAGAAGAUACGACUAUGAAGAUUCCUCGCUUGCUUAAAGUGCGAUAUACCUGUAGUAAUCGUUAGUUGCAAAUUGAACUUGUUAGUUAACUAAUUGAGCUAGAGAUGUGAAAUUGAACCUUUAAUUGUAAAAUGUCAUUUCCUUUUAUGUGCCCGUAUCAGAAAUAUUGAAUAUGUAUUAUUUAAAAAGUGUUCUUAUUUGACUUGUCUAUGUAGUAGACACUCACGUACAUGCUGUGUGUAUGUGUGAGUGUAUGCGUGUGCAAUGAAAAGUGAUUUUAUACCGUUCUUAUUUUAUAAGUUAAUAACUUUUAAACUAAUACGUAAAAAGUUUUGAAAUUUUGCAAGUGUGUUCCUUAAUGUUCGUUUUAAAUCGUAUUUAAGUUUAGUGAUUAAGAGAUGUAUUGUUUAAUUGUAAUAAAAUAUUAACUUAGCAAAAUGACAUAUUUCAGAUAUGCUUUAAAGUAUAGAGCGAGUUUUGUACCAAAUAUUCUUCAUUUACGCUACUUUACAAAAUAGUUAAUUUUUAUCGGCAAAGGGCGUUAAUUCAUGAGAAUUGUUUAUUAGAUGGACAAUUGUUAAUUUGUUAAGUAUUAAUAAACAAUAUACUUCGUGUUAUAUGAUAUUUGUCCUGACGACUGACUAUUUCAGCUGACUUUAUAUAAUUUCGGCAAGUUCGUGUAACUAUGACAAUCUACAACUUAUUUGACAUAUGUCUUAUACAAUAAUUCUUAAUUAACAAUUGUAUUAGUCGUUACGUUUUCAACUAAAAAUUAUGAAAUAAAAAUUUUAAUAAUAA